UGGUAACAAAUUAUUGAAUUUUUAGAUGUACUAUCGUGCCGAAAAAAAACUAGGACAGCAAAAUCUCCUAAAUCUCUUGGUCUAUUAGAAUAAUAUAUUUUGAUGUUGUCAAAGUUAAUUUAAUUUUGUGACAGCCGCGUCAACAAAAUCUUUCUUUCAAAAUGCUUGCAUUAUCUGCUCUGUCUGAUAGAUGGAGUUCCUAUACGAAGAAUCGCAGAAGAAUUGGGAAUUAGUAAAAAUACCGUUUCCUUAGCUAAGGCAAAAAUUGCAGAAUAUGGAGCUAUUGUAAGAAAUCCAGGUUCUCGUCGACCAAAAAUUUCAAACGACAUUCAAGAUAUAGAGUUAGUUGGCUUUCUAAGAAACAAUCCGUUUGAAAUAGCAAUAAAAGCGAAAGAAGACAGGCAUUUUCCUGGUUCUGCUAAUACAACUCGUAGUAGGAUAUGAAAAUCGGAAAUUAAAAGUUGCUGUGCAACAAAUAAAAGAUUUUUGACUGAAGCAAACAAACAGAGAAGAUUAGAAUUUGCCCAUCAAUAUGCACACCAAAACAUAAACUUCAUAUUUUCAAAUGAAAAAAUCUUUCAAUCGUAUAAUAAUGGCAAAAUCCGCGUUUACAGGCCUUCUAAUACCAGAUGUGAUGAAAGAUAAUACACAUAAGACUAAUAGAAGUGGACGUUUUAGCGUUGAUUGAAUAUUUGGGAAGAUACGCAACCCUAUGGGCUAAAGCGUGACCGCAAAUAUGCGUGAAAAAUAGAUGGCGAUUCUCUCCAGUAUGCGCGAAAAUAAUUUCGUCCGUCGCUUCUCAUCAACUACUAUAACCCCUAUAAACUGUUUUAACUAUAUUUAACCCUUAUAAACUGUUUAUCUAUGCUUCCCAUUAGUAAUCGGCCGAUCAUCCCUGAGUCGUAUGGGAGAGUUUUUGCACAGGUUCGUGUUUGCCGUAUUGCAAUUUGAUAGUUGUUAAAAAAUUUUCUUGGAUAUCAUAAUCACAAAUAGAUAGAUAUAUGUAAAUGUGUUUAGUUUGUGAGACAAUGGCUCCUUUAGGCAAAAUUAAUCAGAGUGCGUAUCGUGGGUGCAAUAAUGUAAGAAAAUGUAAAAACAAUGUUCUCAGUUUUUUCAAAUUUCCGAUUUUAAAACCAGUGUUGCUUAACCAGUGGAUAGAAAAUAUAGGCAAUGCGGAAACAUAUGUUAUGGAUGAAAAUUUAUUAAAAAACAAAGUGGUUUGCGAGAAACAUUUUGACCUAAUAUAUAUUGCAGUAAGUAAUAAGCGAAAGAGACUUUUAAAAUCAGCUGUACCAAUUUUAUGGAAAGAACCGGCCUCUAAAAACACAAUUUCUUUGCCUGAUACCUCAUGUAACGCUCAAAGCCUUAAGAGUUUAGAUGCAAAAGUUUCAUCAAUAAAUUGGGAAAAUGAUACUACAAACGAUACAAAUGUAUUGCCUGGCACGCAUAUUCAAGUUGAUAUUUUGCAGCAUAGUCCAAAAAAUGGAAGUUUUUUUUUGAGAAGUUAUUAAGGAUGGUUCGUUUUGAAAUGAAAGCACUGUAUAGCUAAUUUUUUUGAAUGACCCCUUAAUGUUUUAGAAGAUGGAUAAAUUGUUUUAUAUUUCAGAUAACUUUAUAUUUAAGUUAACUUCAUUAAAAAAAAAAGUUUAAAGCUCAAAAAAAUAAGUAUUUACGCCUUAAAAAAAAAAAGCAAAUCUAGUGUCUAAAAACUUUUUUGGAAAUUUACUUAAAGGAAAAAGUACACCUGUAAAAACACUAAUUAACAUGCAGUUAUCUCCAACGAGAAAAAAAGUUUGGACGACCAAUGAGCGACAUUUGGCACUUUCUCUUUAUUAUAUAAUAUAUCUUUAUCUUUAUCUUUAUUAUAUUAAGUCUUAUUCUUAGUUAUCUUAUUAA